rnacentral:rRNA from 1 species
AGAGUUUGAUCAUGGCUCAGCCUGAACGCUGGCGGCGUGGCUAAGACAUGCAAGUCGCACGGACGUAGCAAUACGUUAGUGGCGAACGGGUGAGUAAUGAAUCGCUAAUGUACCCCGGACUCUGGGAUAGCUGCCCGAAAGGGCAGGUAAUACCAGAUGACAUAUCCGACAGGCAUCUGUUGGAUCUCAAAGGUCCGCCGGUCUGGGAGCAGGCGAUUUCGUAUCAGCUAGUUGGUGAGGUAACGGCUCACCAAGGCGACGACGCGUAGCCGGACUGAGAGGUUGGCCAGCCACAUCGGGACUGAGACACUGCCCGGACUCCUACGGGGGGCUGCAGUAACGAAUCUUCCCCAAUGCACGCAAGUGUGAGGGAGCGACGCCGCGUGGAGGACGAAGUUCUUCGGAAUGUAAACUCCUGUCAGGGGUUAGAAAGUUCUGAUCGACCCCAGAGGAAGAGGCGGCUAACUCUGUGCCAGCAGCCGCGGUAAUUC